UUUAUCUUUUGGUUGGAUGUGCUGGAUAGAGAUAAUGGCCUGUGCUAGCAGACAUUUCUAGCACCAUAUUGUUCUCAUUUUUUCUUUAGCAGAUUCUUCCUUCGUCUCAAUGUCCAUGAAUCUGCUACUCUUUGCUUUCUCUGUCUGAAAAAAAGGAAAAAAAAAAAAAAAAAACUGUUUCCUACAAAACUAUAUUUGUAAUCAAUAUUGUCUUUACUUCUUUCUCUGCAUCAUCGAUCUCUGCAAGGUUGGUUUUCUCAGCAGUCAAACGUCAGCAGCACCCACAUGCUUGAAUUUCUUGUUUUGAUUUUCAGGAAUUUAAGAACUCUUCGAAAACUAGAUUUCCUGUUAGAUUCUUUUGUUGUUGUUGUUGUUGUUGGGUGGUGGUGAGUUUCUGAUUUGAUAACUAAAUUUCGAAUCUUUGUUGGUUAGUUUGGCCCAUUUACUUGUUCUGGGCUUUGGUUGGUAGCUAACAGGAUAAAUAUCCAGUUUUUUCUUUUUCUGCUUAAAAUUGGAAACCAGAAUCUUUAGGAUUCGUUGAUUCUUCUUGUGGAUAUGUGAAUUUCUUAUCCUGCUAAUCUCUGGGUCUUCUCUUGCAUUCUCAAAUUUGGAAGUUCUUUUGGGUGGAUAAGAUAAUAGCAUCUGUCCCUCACUCAUCCUUUCUCAUCUAUAUGGGUUUAUAGUGAAUUUUGAACUUGGGGGUGGGCUUUUGUUCUUCUCCAUUACUCUUGUUGUUCCUCUUUCUAAAUUUAUUUUUAUCUUUUCUAAUGUUGGGUUUAACUAGACAUUUCCUGUAGAUUAUUUGACAGUGGGUCUCUCUCUCUCUCUCUCUCUCUCUUAUAUACACAUUAUAUUACCACCUGGAAUCAGCUCAGCAAAGAAGUCAGACCCACUUAGCCUGGGUUACUGUUUGCAGUUACCCUGUGUUGGUUAGUGCUCUGGAUGAGCUUGCUUCAUGUAUUUGGAUUUGGUUUAAAGGUGGGGCAUCUACUUUGGAUGCUAUGUUGCUGGGUUAUAUCUGUGAUUUCAAUGAAUUGGUUCCUUAAUGGUGGAAUUAUGGACACCAAGACUUGUUUGCUUGGUGAUGGUGGAAAGAUAUGCCCGAAAUGGUGGGAGAAAAUCUCAGGGACCAUUUACAAGAUCCACCAUAACUACUGUCAGUAUAUAGGCUCCAAAACAGUAAGAAGAAGAUGGUGGAAAAGGCUUUUGAUUACAUGGGCACUUGGUUGGACUGUGGCAUCCCUGUGGAUCUUCUUGUAUAUGAACUCACAGGCUACUGAGAAAAGGAAAGAGACUCUUGCCAGCAUGUGUGAUGAGAGGGCAAGGAUGUUGCAGGAUCAGUUUAAUGUGAGCAUGAACCAUAUUCAGGCCAUGUCCAUUCUGAUUUCAACCUUCCAUCAUGGCAAAAACCCUUCUGCAAUUGAUCAGAGAACUUUUGCUAGGUACACAGAGAGAACUGCUUUUGAAAGGCCCCUCACCAGUGGUGUGGCAUAUGCUGUAAGGGUGCUCCACUCUGAAAGGGAACAAUUUGAGAAGCAACAAGGCUGGACUAUUAAAAGGAUGGAUACCUUUGAACAAAACCCCGUUCAUAAGGAUGACUAUGACCCAGAGGCCUUGGAGCCAUCCCCAGUUCAGGAAGAAUAUGCUCCUGUCAUCUUUGCACAGGAUACCAUUUCGCACGUGGUCUCCCUUGAUAUGCUGUCGGGGACGGAAGAUCGUGAAAAUGUUUUGCGUGCAAGAGCAUCAGGAAAAGGGGUCCUAACUGCUCCUUUUCCGCUGCUCAAAACAAACCGUCUUGGUGUUAUAUUGACCUUUGCUGUCUACAAGACAGAUCUCCCCUCAAAUGCUACUCCGAAUGAAAGAAUCCAAGCAACUGAUGGAUAUCUUGGUGGAGUCUUUGAUAUCGAGUCACUUGUGGAAAAGUUACUUCACCAACUUGCAAGCAAGCAAACUAUCCUUGUGAACGUGUAUGACACUACCAAUCACUCACAGCCAAUCAGCAUGUAUGGUUCAAAUGUUUCAUAUGAUGGUUUGCAGCACGUUAGCACCCUAAAUUUUGGGGAUCCUUUUAGGAAGCAUGAGAUGCGUUGCAGAUUCAAGCACAAACCACCAUGGCCAUGGUUAGCAAUAACUACUUCAAUUGGCAUCCUUGUGAUUGCUCUGCUCAUUGAGCAUAUAUUCAAUGCAACUGUAAAUCGAAUUGCAAAGGUGGAAGAAGAUUACAAUCAUAUGAUGGGGCUCAAAAAACUGGCUGAGGCCGCUGAUGUUGCCAAAUCCCAGUUCCUUGCUACGGUGUCCCAUGAGAUCAGAACCCCGAUGAAUGGUGUUCUUGGAAUGCUGGAUAUGCUUAUGGACACAGAUCUGGAUGUAACUCAACAAGAUCAUGUUAGAAUUGCCCAGGCGAGUGGAAAAGCUCUAGUCUCACUUAUAAAUGGGGUGUUGGACCAGGCUAAGAUUGAAUCCGGUAAGCUUGAGUUAGAAGAGGUGCAGUUUGAUCUGCGAGCAGUUCUCGAUGAUGUUUUGUCACUCUUUUCUGGGAAGUCUCAAGAGAAAGGAGUGGAGUUGGCUGUUUACAUCUCGGAUCGUGUUCCUGAAAAGCUAAUUGGUGAUCCAGGAAGGUUUCAACAAAUAAUCACCAAUCUCAUGGGAAACUCAAUUAAAUUCACAGAGAAAGGACACAUUUUUGUCACCAUUCAUCUUGUGGAGGAGGUGAUAGAUUCAGUUGAAGUUGAGACCGAAAUAUCAUCAAGGAACACCUUGAGUGGUUUCCCUGUUGCUGACAGACGGUGUAGCUGGGGACGAUUUAGAGCUUUCAGUCAAGAAGGAUCUGCUGCUACUUUUUCAUCAACCUCCUCUGACAUUAACCUAAUUGUCUCUGUUGAGGACACAGGAGUGGGGAUCCCUCCAGAAGCCCAACCUCGUGUUUUCACUCCUUUUAUGCAAGUUGGGCCAUCUAUCUCUCGGACUCACGGGGGAACAGGUAUUGGGCUGAGCAUAAGCAAGUGUUUAGUUGGCCUUAUGAAAGGAGAAAUUGGGUUUGUGAGCAUUCCAAAAAUCGGUUCCACCUUCACAUUUACUGCUGUUUUCACUAAUGGCUGUAAUUCGAACGAGUGUAGAAGUCAGCAAAUCAUCAAUCAAGCUAACACUGGAUCCUCAGAAUUUCAAGGGAUGACUGCACUGGUAGUUGACCCCAGAUCUGUCAGGGCCAAGGUGUCAAGAUAUCAUAUCCAACGGCUUGGAAUUCUUGUUGAAGUAGUUUCUGAUUUGAAUCAAUGUUUGUCAAUCGUAAACAGUGGGAGUAGAGUUAUCAACAUGAUCCUUGUUGAACAGGAGGUCUGGGAUAAGGAUUCAAGCACAAUAACUAUUUUUGUCAAUAAUUUGAAAAGAACUGAUCACAGGGUUCCUCCAAAAUUGUUCCUUCUUGCCAAUUCAGUUAGUUCUCCUAGAUCAAGCAUUACAACUUCAGGUGUUUACAAUGCUGCUGUUAUCAUGAAGCCUUUAAGGGCAAGUAUGCUUGCUGCCUCGCUACAACGAGCCAUGGGUGUCGGUAACAAGGGUAAUCCUCGAAAUGGGGAGCUUCCCAGUAUGUCCCUACGCAGCCUUCUUCUUGGAAGAAAAAUUCUUAUUGUGGAUGAUAAUAAUGUGAACCUCAAAGUGGCUGCUGGUGCUUUGAAAAAGUAUGGGGCCGAGGUGGUUUGUGAGGACAGUGGGAAAGCUGCAAUCUCACAGCUUGAGCCACCCCACAAUUUUGAUGCCUGUUUUAUGGAUAUCCAGAUGCCAGAAAUGGAUGGGUUUGAAGCCACAAGAAAAAUUCGUGAAAUGGAAAAUAAUGUCAGUACUCGUAUCCAACGGGGAGAAGUUUCUAUUGAAGCUUAUGGAAACGUUUCAACAUGGCAUGUACCCAUUUUGGCCAUGACUGCAGAUGUAAUCCAGGCUACUCAUGAGGAAUGCAUAAAAUGUGGUAUGGAUGGAUAUGUAUCCAAACCAUUUGAAGCAGAGCAGCUCUAUCGAGAAGUUUCACGUUUUUUGCAGCCAGCUUCAAAUGGAAAUCUGUAGAGUGGAUUUACAUUGAUGACUUACUGACAAUUAUAGCGUGAGAGCAUGUUCUCCAUGAAGUUCUGGCAUACUUGAUGAACACAGUUUCUUCUGAGUGGAGAACAUUUGCUUUAUGGCAGAAGAGUGUAUAUAAAAAUCUCUGCUUGAUUGAUUGGUAUUUGGGUUUCUAUUAAUUCUUUCAAAUAGAGCCAAAUGUCAAAGCAGAUUCAAUUUUUCCUUAUAAGAAAGGUAAAUAUCUUUUGCAAGCCAUUCAAUAGAAGUUGGUAAUACCUGGGUUUUAAAUUCCAGCAAAGAGCUCCUCAAUAGGACUUCAUAUCUGGAAAAUUUAUUACUUUGGAAAUGACUGAAAUACGAGUGACUUGGGUGUAUCAUAGAAGCUGUGGGAUUUUGCAUUCUCCAUUGCAAAGGAUGUUUAGUAAUAAGGGACUUGAGCUCAUUUGAAGGGAUUCAGUUGUUUCUCUGAAACGUAGUGUAUCAUAGUAUUGAUUCAGCAGAAAAUAUUGAAUCCGAGCUUUCUUUGAAACAAAGAGCAGGAGGGAAUGCACCACCGCCAUGUACAUUAUGUCCCCAAUAAACAAAAAUUUGUAAUUCAUAGCAGCCUUUUUUUUUUUUUUUUUUUUUUUCAUUAUUUUUUUCCCCUCUUAACAAUUUCAAUAGUUUGUAUCAAACCUAGAAUUCAUGUAACUACGCCAGGGUAUCAAAUUUGAGAUACUCAUGAUUCUUGUCGGAGCUGUAUAUCUCGUAAAUUGCAAAAGUUUUUGUUUUUUGUUUUUUC